CCUACGGGUGGCAGCAGUGAGGAAUAUUGGUCAAUGGCCGUAAGACUGAACCAGCCAAGCCGCGUGAGGGAAGAAGGAUCUGUGGUUUGUAAACUUCUUUUAUAAAGGAAUAAAGUGUGGCACGUGUGCCCUUUUGUGUGUACUUUAUGAAUAAGGAUCGGCUAACUCCGUGCCAGCAGCCGCGGUAAUACGGAGGAUCCGAGCGUUAUCCGGAUUUAUUGGGUUUAAAGGGAGCGUAGAUGGGUUGUUAAGUCAGUUGUGAAAGUUUGCGGCUCAACCGUAAAAUUGCAUUUGAAACUGGCAGUCUUGAGUACAGGUGAGGUAGGCGGAAUGCGCGGUGUAGCGGUGAAAUGCUUAGAUAUCACGAAGAACUCCGAUUGCGAAGGCAGCUUACUAAACUGUGACUGACAUUGAUGCUCGAAAGUGUGGGUAUCAAACAGGAUUAGAUACCCCGGUAGUC
rnacentral:rRNA from 1 species